UACGGGGGGAGCAAGCGUUGUUCGGAUUUACUGGGCGUAAAGGGCGCGUAGGCGGCGCAACAAGUCACUUGUGAAAUCUCCGGGCUUAACCCGGAGCGGUCAAGUGAAACUGUCAAGCUAGAGUGCAGAAGGGGCAAUCGGAAUUCUUGGUGUAGCGGUGAAAUGCGUAGAUAUCUGGAGGAACACCGGUGGCGAAGGCGGCAUCCUGGACCAACACUGACGCUGAGGAGCGAAAGCCAGGGGAGCAAACGGG
rnacentral:rRNA from 1 species